AUUGAACGCUGGCGGCAGGCCUAACACAUGCAAGUCGAACGGGGCGGCGGACGGGUGAGUAUUGCUUAGGAAUCUGACAGGUCGCGGGGGAUAACGUUAGGUACUGGGAGCUAUUACCACAUACUCUUAGAAGAGGCUAGGUCGGAUUAGCUAGUUGGUGGGGUAAAGGCCUACCAAGGCGACGAUCCGUAGCUGGUCUGAGAGGAUGAUCAGUCACACUGGAACUGAGACACGGUCCAGACUCCUACGGGAGGCAGCAGUGGGGAAUAUUGGACAAUGGGCGAAAGCCUGAUCCAGCCAUGCCGCGUGUAUGAAGAAGGUCUUCGGAUUGUAAAGCACUUUAAGUUGGGAGGCGUUACCAACAGAAUAAGCACCGGCUAACUUCGUGCCAGCCGCCGCGGUAAUUC
rnacentral:rRNA from 1 species